GUGGAUUAGAUACCCGAGUAGUCCACGCCCUAAACUAUGUCAACUAGUUGUCGGAUCUUAAUAGAUUUGGUAACGUAGCUAACGCGUGAAGUUGACCGCCUGGGGAGUACGGUCGCAAGAUUAAAACUCAAAGGAAUUGACGGGGACCCGCACAAGCGGUGGAUUAUGUGGAUUAAUUCGAUGCAACGCGAAAAACCUUACCUACCCUUGACAUGUGCAGAAUUUCACAGAGAUGAGAAAGUGCCCGAAAGGGAGCUGCAACACAGGUGCUGCACGGUUGUCGCCAACU
rnacentral:rRNA from 1 species